CCACUCUCUUUUUUUCAGGGCCAGCCAUGACAUGAAAACCUGCCAGGACUGGAGCUGCACUUUUUCAGCACUCCUUCCACACCAUGAUGUCUGGAACCCUCUAGAACCACAAGGCAAAAUAAGUCCGUCUUCUUUUAAAUUGUUUGCCAAGUGUUUUUGUUGCAGUAGUACAGAAUUAAACAAAGCAGUCUGAAUAGACACAGAGAAGAGCUCCGGUAACACAACACACUAUACCUAGCAUGUCCCUUUGCAACCUGGGUUUCUCACAAGGAAGGAAAACAAGACUGGUCUUCAAAGAAGCAGCGUGAAGGUGUUGGGAUUCUGCUAAGAGGUGUUUAGCUGAUGUUGUAUGUGAAAUCACUUUGGAUCACUGAAGCAGAAUGAAGAAAGUAUCGGCCUGUGUCCUCGGUCCCUACAUGUAUUCCUUGGCAACAGACUCCCUACAACUGCUCGGUGGACACCGGUGAAUUGACUUCAUCUCCGUGGCUCUCAGACUUAAGUCUCCACAGUAAUAUGUAUGGCUCCUCUAUUGGACACAGCCCUCUACUCUGGAGUCACUGUUCCAAGUCUUCUCUGGCUGUUUUUGAAGAGGAACAGGUCAGGUGGACCAGAUAGCUGUCCUUCAUGCAUGUCAUGGU